UGUGUGGCUGGCGUUAUACAGCCCCCAGCCAUCGCCUGGAGGGCAUCCAGUGUCUGUUAUCACUCACCUUAGGUAGUCUGUGAAGGUCCAGUCAUCACUGGUGCACGUGUAUCUUACCUGUGAUCAACACCGGCAGCCACAGACUCCUGCCCAAGGAACGAACACAGUGAUCGUGAUGACAUUGACAACAACGAGCAAGUCCUCCUAGACCUAGAGUGACCUCAAGCUGGGCCAAACAUGAUGUGGAAGAAGAAAUCAGUUGUCUCCAUCAGUCGGGUUUGUGCCAUGGCAGCUUUCUCCAGCUGUCCGGCAGAGGUCCAGUCCAUGCCAUGGAGAAAUUCAGCCCCCAACAAUGAGAUGGCAUGCCAGAGAUGGAUCCGCAGCUUCUCCUCCAAUCAAUCAAUCCUUGCAAUGCCUUUUCUCUUUCCUCUCCUUCUGUCCCACCAUGCUUACACAUAACUGAUCCAAGGUACUUAAACUCGUUAACCUCCUCCAUUUCUUCACCAUUCAAAAUUAUUUGGCAUUCUUUUUCACAUUCAAUGCCCACUCUAUAUGGGCAUACAAACUCUACAACCUCCCUUCUACUCUGCUCACAAACCAUCACUUUACUUUUGUUGAAAUUUACUUUCAACUUUCUCCUUUUACAUACACUAUCAAAAACACUGACCAAAUUUUGUAAGUCCCUUUCAUUUUCUGCAUUGAGCACCGUGUCAUCAGCAAAUAAGAUUGAAUUCAUCACCCACUUCCUUCCCUCCCUCAGCAUACAUUUUUACUUCAAUUUCCCCAACUUUGCCCUUCAUUUCUCAUAACACCAUCCAUAUAAAUAUUGAACAACCACGAUGACAUGACACACCCCUGCCUUAGCCCACUUUCAUCUCAAAAUGUUCCCUUGUUUCUCCACUAAUUUUGACACAUGCAGAUGCAUCCUCAUAGAAAGACUUUAUUGCAUAAAGCAGUUUUCCUCCCACACCAUAUAUCUUUAAGACGUCCCACAAUGCCAGCCAAUCGACUCUGUCAUAAA